ACAGAGCUCAGGUACAUGUCUGGUGGGAGAUAAAGGGAAACAGCCUAGGUCUGUUGGACUCUCACAGAGCAGGUUCAGCAAAUGACCACACAGCCUGUCAUUGCGAUUGCCCUGCAACAUCUGGUUUAAAGAGGGAGUGGUUAUGUGAGAAUAAGCCAAAGGCGAAAGUUACAGGGUAUCCAGACUCCCUGCUUUGUGAACAAAGGCACCUCAGGACUGUCUCCAUGAACCCGGCAGCAACUGGCUUCCCAGGGAAGCCUGGUGAGGUUUGGAAGGGUUCAAGCAGAUAAAAGAAAUGAAGGUGGGCCUUGAACCCAGGUUUGGCAUUUGAUUCCAUAUGAUGGCUUUCCCAAAUGGAUUCCCAUGCAAGUGAAGCAAACAAGACUGUUUCUUGGAUUGAGUCGCAAAGGCUGGACAAUUGAUAAAGAAUAAAGGUUUGCUUUUAAAAUCGUGGAGGCUAGGCAAUCUAAAGUUAAAGGCCUGCAUAGGGUAAAUAAAGUCCGUUUAGCUUAUGGGGACUCUGCAGUCAGGUCCUUGCUGACAGGGACUCUGCAGAGCCUGAGGCAGCACAGAGCAUCCAUCCUAAGAGAGACAAAUAAAUCUUGGAGGCACAUGGUUCUCUACAAUCAAGCAUGAGGUUUCCCAUCACUUACGAUCUCCAGGCAUAAAUACAAAUAAAAAGUGCAAAUGCCA